rnacentral:snoRNA from 1 species
UGGUGAUGAUGCUUCUACUCACGAUGGUCUUCAGAGCCCUCUCUGGUGAACGAGGGGCUGCUGACAAUGCCAGCGCGGCAGUCACUGAACCGUGGGG